AAAUAAAUCUAAUCCCUGAUGCUGCAUUAUGGCCAGAAAACCAAUGAACUUUCGGAGAAGAAAAAAGAAAGACUUGUUCUACCGUAUAUGAGGAUGUGCAAACUUUAAUAUCUUUUAUGGCAUUCUCAGAAGAGAGGAUUAGAUCAUUUGAACAAAAAGAGCUACAGAAGAGACCCAUAUGAAGAUACAAAAGAGGUUGCACUGUAGAGGGUUACAAAAAGCAUAGUCUUUUCAGUAAUGAUGCAGAGAUCAAUGAGCAUUCAUACGGAAAAAAGGAAAUUUGACCCUACAGAACAUCAUUCACAAAAAUCCAGAGGAAAAUUGACAAACAAAACGAAGUAGCAGUAAUUCAUCCUACUUCCAACAGCCUGUACUUGUGACGUCUCCAGUGGAGAGCAGAUGCCCAGGAAGGAGCUCUACCCCACAAGCUGAGGGUUCAAGAAUGCUUGUGUGGCUUUGAGAAAAUAAACCCCCAUCUGUAUGAUAAA